rnacentral:misc_RNA from 1 species
GAUGAAGAACGCAGCGAAAUGCGAUACUUGGUGUGAAUUGCAGAAUCCCGUGAACCAUCGAGUCUUUGAACGCAAGUUGCGCCCGAAGCCAUUAGGCCGAGGGCACGCCUGCCUGGGCGUCACACGUCGUUGCCCCCCCAUCUACUCCUUCGGGAUUGCGGGGGGCGGAUGAUGGCCUCUCGUGCGCCUCGUCGCGCGGUUGGCCUAAAUGCCAAGUCCUCGGCGACGCACGCCACGACAAUCGGUGGUUGCGAAACCUCGGUUGCCUGUCGUGUGCGGUCGUCGAGCAUCGAGGGCUCGAAAAAAUUGCCGGGCUUCGGCUCGACUUUCAACGCGACCCCAGGUCAGGCGGGGUUACCCGCUGAAUUUAAGCAUAUCAAUAAGCGGAGGA